UACGUAGGGUGCAAGCGUUGUCCGGAAUUAUUGGGCGUAAAGAGCUCGUAGGCGGUUUGUUGCGUCGGCUGUGAAAUCCCCGAGGCUCAACCUCGGGUCUGCAGUCGAUACGAGCAAACUAGAGUGUUGCAGGGGAGACUGGAAUUCCUGGUGUAGCGGUGAAAUGCGCAGAUAUCAGGAGGAACACCAAUGGCGAAGGCAGCUCGCUGGGACGGUACUGACGCUGGAGGAGCGAAAGCGUGGGGAGCAAACAGG
rnacentral:rRNA from 1 species